UACAGAGGGGGCAAGCGUUGUUCGGAAUUACUGGGCGUAAAGGGCGCGUAGGCGGCCUGCUAAGUCGAACGUGAAAUCCCCAGGCUCAACCUGGGAACUGCGUCCGAUACUGACAGGCUUGAAUCCGGGAGAGGGAUGUGGAAUUCCAGGUGUAGCGGUGAAAUUCGUAGAUAUUCGGAAGAACACCAGUGGCGAAGGCGACUCACUGGACACAUAUUGACGCUGAGGUGCGAAAGCGUGGGGAGCAAACAGGG
rnacentral:rRNA from 1 species